UACAGAGGUCUCAAGCGUUGUUCGGAUUCAUUGGCGUAAAGGGUGCGUAGGUGGCGCCGUAAGUCAGGUGUGAAAUUUCGGAGCUUAACUCCGAAACUGCAUUUGAUACUGCGGUGCUUGAGGACUGGAGAGGAGACUGGAAUUCAUGGUGUAGCAGUGAAAUGCGUAGAGAUCAUGAGGAAGACCAGUGGCGAAGGCAGGUCUCUGGACAGUUCUGACGCUGAGGACGAAGGCCAGGGAGGCAAACGGG
rnacentral:rRNA from 1 species